rnacentral:rRNA from 1 species
ACGUAGGGGGCUAGCGUUGUCCGGAAUCAUUGGGCGUAAAGCGCGUGUAGGCGGUUCGGUAAGUCCGCUGUGAAAGUCGGGGGCUCAACCCUCGAAUGCCGGUGGAUACUGUCGGACUAGAGUACGGAAGAGGCGAGUGGAAUUCCUGGUGUAGCGGUGGAAUGCGCAGAUAUCAGGAGGAACACCGAUGGCGAAGGCAGGUCUCUGGGCCAUUACUGACACUGAGAAGCGAAAGCAUGGGGAGCGAACAGGA